GAAAUACAAAACGCAAAAUCUCUUUUUUUUUUUGAAUUUUCGAGUUACACCAUGCUUUUUCAAAUACAAAGUAGAAAGUACAAUAACAAAAAACUCGACAUUACUGUACAAAAUUAGAAAGUAAAAGACGACAUAAAAAGAAAAACAUACUCAAAACAUAAAAAAAAAUAAGAAUUUCCUAAAGCAACUCCUGACUGAGCGAUCUUGACUGGAUGGUCCUAAGGCAUCUGUCAUGCCCAAACUCCGGUAAAUAGAUCCACACCUGUAAGAGAAAAUUAAGACCAACACUAUGUGAGAUAAUAACAUUCCCUACUAGACACAUGCAAGACAUGGUUGUGACUAUUUUUCAAAAAUUAACCUAUGUGGCUAAAAAUGGCUAAACGUGCAAGAUUUGGCUACGACUCCGCGAAGCCAAGAACCUCAGAUUUACUAGGAAGACUGGACCCUAUGUGGGUUGCCUACGUAUCACGCCCCGAAGAUGAGAAUCAGGUAUGCGUAGUUCGGGCAGAUUGGAUACUGGUGAGAACUAAAAAAACAACUAAUUUAGAGAAAAUAUAUUUAUUUUUUUGAAAAAUGAUGAAACAUAUAAACUCUUUUUGGAUUUUCUUUUCUUUUUUCCUUUUUUGAUUUUCUGAAUUUCGGAAAAUGAUGAAAAAGUGCAAAAUCUUUUUUUUUUUUUUGAAUUUUUAGGCUCUUUUUUUCUUAACAAAAAUGUGGCAGAAAAUAUAAUUGGGCCCUACUCGCUUUAUCCUCACACUUCACCCUCUCUUUUUUCCUUUUUUUCAUUUGUCCUCAGCUAUCAUUGGUCCGCAAAUGACCCUUUUACCCUUGAAAAAAUGCAACGUGUAGCACAUAGGAUGCGUCAGGAUGGUCUUUUAUUUUUGGGUAUACCUGUCCUAGAUGGACCCAACCCCUGUGUUGAGUCCCCAAAGUCAAAUGCACGUGAUGCAAUCAAGCGUUCCUACUAGGGAUCCGGCAUGAAGCUGGGUUAUUUUAAGUUUAAAACCUAGGUAUGUUGUUCUAGACUUAUGUACCCGAGCGGGCAACUCGAGCCGGGGAGAGCUACGUACCGGGAACCAAAAGGCCAUUCGGCUUUGUAACUUGUCCGAGCCUCUUCCUAAUUUAAGGUAUGACACUAACAGAAGAGGAGUCACGCCAGCGUGCACAUCCCCAAAGAUGAGAAAAGAAGGGUUUCAUAGCAGUUUAUAUCCAGUUCAGGUAAUAUCAAAGCGGUAAAAAGCAACAUUUAGCACAUUAGGCCCAAACAUGUAAUUAAAACUAGAUAAUAAAUAAAAGCCAAAUAUAACAAUUAUUCUAAGCUCGAAUUCUUGAACCCUGAACCAGAGAUUCUGGGUUCUUUUCCCCAGUAAAGUCGCCAGAGCUGUCACACCUUCUUUUAUUUAACACUUAGAGUCGCCACUUGGGAUAAGUUAUGGUGUCCCAAGUCACCGGUUCCAAUCCCGAAUCGAGGAAAGAUUGACUCUGUUUUAUAGUCCGCGAACACAGAAAUUCAGGUAAGGAAUUCUGUUAACUCGGGAGAAGGUGUUAGGCAUUCCCGGGUUCUCUGGUUCUAGCACGGUCGCUACUGUUAUAAUUGGCCUAUUUUUUGAUUUUAAUACACUCUUGAAACCUAUGUGCAUUUUAUUCCUUUUAAACCGCUUUUAAUAAUCUAAUUGUUAUACAACUAAUUAUUGAUUACACAUUUGUGAAUCAUGUCAUAGGAACCGUACCCACGAUCUACAACGUAUUUAUUUAAUUAAUAAGAUUAAAAUGUGGGACAGGUCACAUAAAUGUACCCCCGAAUUUUGGAAAUUAAGUGUCACAACUACGUCACGGGAACCGUACCCGUAGCUAUGACAAUUUAAUUAACACGCCUAAAGCAACUACGCGCGCAUGAGUUCAAAUAUUUUUCUAAGGUUUGAGAAUAUUGUAGGCCAAGAAUUAUGGACAAGACAUUAUUGCGGAACUAUUCCAAGUCAAUCAACCCCAACUAAUUGCUAAAUCUUCACGACCCAAGAUAAUUUUACAACCAAAUCGUAUGGCAACAACAUUUAAUUUCAAACUUAAUCAAAAAACAUAAACAGGAUUCUUAAUACUCAAGUGAUUAGUUUUCCAUGUAACUCAAAAUAUUAAAUCAAAUAAGCAAAUCAAAAUAAGAAAACAUCUACUUGGGUAUCGAACCCAACAUAGUAUUUAACAGGAAAGAUAUCAAUUAUAAUAUUGUGACAAUAGAUAAAAUACAAACAGAAACACACAAAACACACACAGGCAUAUAUACACUGUAUUGUAUAACGCAACUAAACAUAACAUAACAGAAAGCUUAAUCAAUCUUGACAUCAUAAUUAAUCAACACAACUAAUAAAAGAAAUGAGUGAGAGAGAUGAACCUUUUAUAUUGAAAUUUUUUGAUUUAAAUAUCACAUCGGCACUUCUCAAGUCGAACAAACAACAGAAACUUGAAACCAAACUUUAACGCCGAGAUCGAUGGACCGGACCUGUGAGCAUGAUGCUCGAAUGACUUCGAACUUGCCGGAAGAAAAACUCGAACUUCCGGGUAAAAAUAGUUGUUGUUUCGGGGUGGUUUGGUGCUAGUUUUUACGGUGGUUGGGAGCUAUUUUUAGCUCACUCUCAGUGUUUGCUGAGCUCGUGGAGUUUAGUUUAAUGGAGUUUCAGGCUGCCGGAAGGUGGUCAUUUGGGUGAUGAAAGCUGCUCUUCGAUUUUUUGGUGGUUCGAUUUUGUUGACGAAGAUGAUUUGAUGAGGGGUCUGAUCGAUGUGUUGUGUUUGGAGAUGCGGCUGCCAAUCUCUAUGUCCAUCGAAGAAGACGAAUGACGGGCGGAGGUCCUAGGUCUAUUGCGGCGCUUGUCAGCCUUUUGUCCUUAGCCUAUUUUUUGUUGUUCCGCCCAUUUCCAG
rnacentral:lncRNA from 1 species